rnacentral:rRNA from 1 species
UGGUAAUGCCGGAUGCUCCAGUUGGAUGCAUGUCCUUCUGGGAAAGAUUCAUCGGUAUGGGAUGGGGUCGCGUCCUAUCAGCUUGAUGGCGGGGUAACGGCCCACCAUGGCUUCGACGGGUAGCCGGCCUGAGAGGGCGACCGGCCACAUUGGGACUGAGAUACGGCCCAGACUCCUACGGGAGGCAGCAGUGGGGAAUAUUGCACAAUGGGCGCAAGCCUGAUGCAGCGACGCCGCGUGCGGGAUGACGGCCUUCGGGUUGUAAACCGCUUUUGACUGGGAGCAAGCCCUUCGGGGUGAGUGUACCUUUCGAAUAAGCACCGGCUAACUACGUGCCAGCAGCCGCGGUAAUACGUAGGGUGCAAGCGUUAUCCGGAAUUAUUGGGCGUAAAGGGCUCGUAGGCGGUUCGUCGCGUCCGGUGUGAAAGUCCAUCGCUUAACGGUGGAUCCGCGCCGGGUACGGGCGGGCUUGAGUGCGGUAGGGGAGACUGGAAUUCCCGGUGUAACGGUGGAAUGUGUAGAUAUCGGGA